UCCCUGAUGGUCCAGAGUUUAAGACUCUCCCUUCCAAUGAGGAGGCACAGGUUCCAUACCUGAUUGGGGAA
rfam:Ovis aries breed Texel chromosome 6, whole genome shotgun sequence.